GAUGAACGCUGGCGGCGUGCCUAAUACAUGCAAGUCGAGCGAACAGACGAGGAGCUUGCUCCUUCGACGUUAGCGGCGGACGGGUGAGUAACACGUAGGUAACCUACCUAUAAGACUGGGAUAACUUCGGGAAACCGGAGCUAAUACCGGAUAAUAUUUCGAACCGCAUGGUUCGAUAGUGAAAGAUGGCUUUGCAACCACUUAAAGAUGGACCUGCGUCGAAUUAGCUAGUUGGUAAGGUAACGGCCUACCAAGGCAACGAAACGUAGCCGACCUGAGAGGUGGUUCGGCCACACUGGAACUGAGCCACGCUCCAGCCUCCUACGGGAGGCAGCGUAAGGGAAUCUUCGGCAUUGGGCGAAAGCCUGACGGAGCACCGCCGCGUGGGUGAGGAGGGUCUUCGGAUCGUAAAACUCUGUUAUUGGGGAGGAACAAGCGUGUAAGGAACUGUGCACGACUUGACGGUACCUAAUCAGAAAGCCACGGCUAACUACGUG
rnacentral:rRNA from 1 species